GGUUGUUCCUGUAAUAUCCAUUGUCUUUAGUUUCAAGACCAGUGUGUCUAAUUUUAGUCUCAAGACUGCAUCUUGUAACCUUGCUCCUGAAAGGAACUGCCACCUUCUGUUCUUCUUGUGCUUGAAAAACAAGCCUCGUUUUUCUUCCUGGUACAAAGCCCACAUUGAGAGAGACACGCCUGUUGUCUGUGGCUGUUGUUUUACAGCAAAACUAUGACAGUACUCAACUAUUGACAAAGAUAUGAACUAGAGUAUGAAAUGAAAGUCAUGUACUGCGGACACUAUGAUGGUAGCUUGCAGAUUGCUGCUUGGUGGUUGCUGUUGUCCAACAAAGCAGGAAACCUGAAAUGGUUUUAGACUCCAAAAGUAGUGCUAUCUAUUCCAAACUUCUGGGCAAUAGCCAAGUGUAACAGCCCUCGUCUUCAAGUAUGUGCUAAUUACAUACAUUGGAAUAACAGGGAUUAUACAAACAAUAUUAUCUUUGGUUUCAUAAAUAGAAAAAAAAAAAGCCACGAAAUGUGUAAUGAGUAUGCUGUUUAGAAAAACACAGUAUAAAUCAUAUGCUUGUAUAAAGCAAAUCAUAUGAUUUAAUGCUUAGAAUCUACAGAGGCUGUGCUGUAGAAAUACUGAAGAGACAUGAAAAUGCAGGUUUUGAAUAAAACAUCAAAACAAUGGUGA